CCCCUCGAGAGUGGCGAACGGGUGAGUAAUAUAUCGGAACGUGCCCAGUCGUGGGGGAUAACGUAGCGAAAGUUACGCUAAUACCGCAUACGAUCUACGGAUGAAAGCGGGGGACUCGCAAGAGCCUCGCGCGAUUGGAGCGGCCGAUAUCAGAUUAGGUAGUUGGUGGGGUAAAGGCUCACCAAGCCAACGAUCUGUAGCUGGUCUGAGAGGACGACCAGCCACACUGGAACUGAGACACGGUCCAGACUCCUACGGGAGGCAGCAGUGGGGAAUUUUGGACAAUGGACGCAAGUCUGAUCCAGCCAUUCCGCGUGCAGGAUGAAGGCCCUCGGGUUGUAAACUGCUUUUGUACGGAACGAAAAGGUCUCUAUUAAUACUAGGGGCUCAUGACGGUACCGUAAGAAUAAGCACCGGCUAACUACGUGCCAGCAGCCGCGGUAAUACGUAGGGUGCAAGCGUUAAUCGGAAUUACUGGGCGUAAAGCGUGCGCAGGCGGUUAUGUAAGACAGAGGUGAAAUCCCCGGGCUCAACCUGGGAACUGCCUUUGUGACUGCAUAGCUAGAGUACGGUAGAGGGGGAUGGAAUUCCGCGUGUAGCAGUGAAAUGCGUAGAUAUGCGGAGGAACACCGAUGGCGAAGGCAAUCCCCUGGACCUGUACUGACGUUCAUGCACGAAAGCGUGGGGAGCAAACAGGAUU
rnacentral:rRNA from 1 species